CUACGGGUCGCAGCAGUGGGGAAUAUUGCACAAUGGGGGAAACCCUGAUGCAGCAACGCCGCGUGGAGGAUGACGCAUUUCGGUGUGUAAACUCCUUUUAUAUAGGAAGAUAAUGACGGUACUAUAUGAAUAAGCACCGGCUAACUCCGUGCCAGCAGCCGCGGUAAUACGGAGGGUGCAAGCGUUACUCGGAAUCACUGGGCGUAAAGCGCGCGCAGGCGGCCCCUUAAGUUGGAUGUGAAAGCCUACGGCUUAACCGUAGAACUGCAUCCAAAACUGAGGGGCUAGAGUCUGGGAGGGGAAGAUGGAAUUAGUUGUGUAGGGGUAAAAUCCGUAGAGAUAACUAGGAAUACCAAAAGUGAAGGCGAUCUUCUGGAACAGUACUGACGCUGAGGCGCGAAAGCGUGGGGAGCAAACAGGAUUAGAUACCCUCGUAGUC
rnacentral:rRNA from 1 species